GGAGGAGGAGGUAGGUCAGUUUAAAUGUACUCUAGGAAUUACUGGUGAUCUUUGCUCAAUGUUUUAAACAUUAGAUAGCUGGAUGUUAACCGAGGAGAUGUGGAACAGAUCAGUUGUACUUACUAUUGCUAUGUCUUCAUUAAUUUGGACGGCAUCAAAAAUAAGAGCCCUCUUGCUAAAACUUCCAACCAAGAACUGGCUGGUUGAUCUAUUGGAGGAAUGCAUUGCUAAAUGUAGUCUUGAUGUACUUGAUUUUUAAAAGAAUUCAGACUAGUACUGAGAGAGUUUGUAAUAGUGGCUAGUGCAGUAGGUGGAGGUUACAGGAGUCAUUGGGUCUAUAUUGUACCUAUGGUAGGUAUAUACUUCAAUAGGAGCUGGUAUUGGAGCUAAAUAUUGCUACUGGGGGAGUGUCUGCUUUUAUGGUUAUACUUAGUGAGAGACUGAGACAUUAUAGUAACUGAGCUGUGUUUAGUAAUAAUUAAUGCUACAUCAGCGUAUAAUGUUCUUUGAAGUUUAUGUAUGAUAUUUAUAGUCUGUA